GGUCGCAUCGUCUAUCGGUAGGACGCUCGGUUUUCAUUCGGGAAAGUGGGGUUCGAUUCCCCAUGGGACCG
rnacentral:tRNA from 1 species